rnacentral:tRNA from 1 species
GGCCCCAUCGUCUAGCGGUUAGGACACCGGCCUCUCACGUCGGUAACACGGGUUCAAUUCCCGUUGGGGUCGCCA